UGGACGACUCUCGGCAACGGAUAUCUCGGCUCUCGCAUCGAUGAAGAACGUAGCGAAAUGAGAUACCUGGUGGGAAUUGCUGAAUCCCGUGAACCAUCGAGUCUUUGAACGCAAGUUGCGCCCGAGGCCAUCCGGCUAAGGGCACGCCUGCCUGGGCGUCACGC
rnacentral:rRNA from 1 species